CCGGCAACCGGCGAUGGAGUUCGCCGCAACCGCCUCACUUGGAAUUUUUCUAUAGAGGAAGAGGGUUCUAACCUCAAAAGCUGAGGCUGAUGACUCCUACACUUCU
rnacentral:ncRNA from 20 species